rnacentral:rRNA from 1 species
CUCUCCCUCUGGCGGCAGGCCUAACACAUGCAAGUCGAACGAACCUUUCGGGGUUAGUGGCGGACGGGUGAGUAACACGUGGGAACGUGCCUUUAGGUUCGGAAUAACUCAGGGAAACUUGUGCUAAUACCGAAUGUGCCCUUCGGGGGAAAGAUUAAUCGCCUUUAGAGCGGCCCGCGUCUGAUUAGCUAGUUGGUUGAGGUAAUGGCUCACCAAGGCGACGAUCAGUAGCUGGUCUGAGAGGAUGAUCAGCCACAUUGGGACUGAGACACGGCCCAAACUCCUACGGGAGGCAGCAGUGGGGAAUCUUGCGCAAUGGGCGAAAGCCUGACGCAGCCAUGCCGCGUGAAUGAUGAAGGUCUUAGGAUUGUAAAAUUCUUUCACCGGGGACGAUAAUGACGGUACCCGGAGAAGAAGCCCCGGCUAACUUCGUG